GCCGGCAUAGCUCAGUUGGCCAGAGCACGUGAUUUGUAAUCUCGGGGUCGUGGGUUCGAAUCCCUCUGCCGGCUC
rnacentral:tRNA from 4 species